rnacentral:lncRNA from 1 species
UAACGUGUGUCCUAAUUUGUUCUGAUGAUUUUGAUAAGAGCAAUAUUAUGAUCGCCGAAUUAACUGAUCGAAGGCAAAUAAGACCAAAUUCUGAGCCUCAAAUAGAUAGUACCAUUUUUGUUGGGGCUUUAUCAUACAGGUUUUCUUCUAGUUUGUACCGCCACCCAAAAAAUGUUUUAGGAAAAUGAACCUCCAGACCAGCUGAGGGACUAGAGAAGGUCCCUACCUAGUCCCGCGAUUGGCAGUUUGGCUGGCCCCCCAAAUUUGAUUUUGCCUAAAAUCAUACAAGAUAAACUAGCCCUUCUCAAGAAGCCCUACCCUCAAAACAACAGAAACGGCAUUGGAAAAAGAAGUUGGAAUUAACCAGUAUGUGCUCUUUCAUAGUAAGACAAUCCUCAUCUUCUGAUCUCUCAAUAGUUGGAUAUUUAUUAUCUCAAGAAAGUCGUCAAAGUAUCAGAAAAAGAAAGAAGUAUGUUAAUGAGGCAUUAUAAUGAUAUUAUGUAGAAAUUUAAGUCUUGUAAAAAUUUGGAAACAAAGAAAAUGAAAAAUACAUACUUUACAAAUAGGUCUUAGAAGAUUGAAAAAUAAAAUAAUAUCAAUGCAUCAGUUAAUUGAUUACUUAAAAGAAAAAUCUUUGAUAAGUGAAUCAACUGAAUUGACCAUUCAGGUUUCCUUAGCUGAACCAGUACAAAGUAUUUUUGAAAGAAUGUUAAAAGGACCUGCCACACAAAAAUCCAAUCUUCUGCUACUAUCCUUUGCUUUAACAUUGUCAUUUUAUUCGCCGAAAACAUAGAAUUUUAUAAGGGAUACAUAAACUGGCCCAGAGUUUUCUUAGGAGGCCUCUAAAUUCCAUUUAGUUUUCAACAAUAUUUUUGAUAUUUUUAACUCUCAGAAUGGAUUUACAAAAUAUUCAUAUAAAAAAAUUAUCAAAAAUAUAAGAACAACAUACUUUUUAAUAAUUUUGAAAUAAUUAAAUUGUAUUUAUUGGACUUACUUUUAAAAGAAUGGUCAACCAUAGUCACAAGAAAAACGGGAUUUUUGGGCUUUCUAAUUUGUAUGGAAAGCUUACAACUCAACAAAACUGAUGGUUACAAAGAAACAGAAGAAAAGGGAAGAUACUAAUUUACUAGACAAAAGGCUGUUCUUUUGUAAUAUGGAGAUGGGCAAAAUUCAAAGUAGUAGUACUCAAAACAGAGAAGAACAUAAGCUAAAGAAAA